CAUUUUAUCUCUUGGCUUUCGUCUACAAUUUGUGUUUUCCCACAUCCAAUCAGUUAAAACCCAUUCAGUCUGUGUUCUCAAAGUUGAUGUGGGCAUCCUCUCGAAAUUCUUCUCACCCCUCAAACAAGAGAUAUCAGAAGCUACAAAAGCAGAAAAGGGAAUUAUGAGGAAAGAAGAAUUUCCUACCUGGAACGCAUCAAGAACAUGACUUUGUUUCCUCAAAUGCUGACCGAGAACUUAAGAUGGUUAUGGUGGUUAGACAAGACCUUAAGAUGAAAUCAGGGAAGAUUGCAUCUCAAUGUGCCCGUAAGAUUCUUCUGCCACUCUUAAAAUUUGAAAUUUUGCUUUUGAUUUUAAAAUCUACGUCUGUUUGGCUUUACUAACAUUAGCUCGGCUCUCCCAACCGUCACGUUUCCAUAUGUCCUAACCCUCGAUUAUUUGACUGGAUUUUUCCUGCCCAAAUAUACAGAUGCUGCCACUGGCAUGUAUGCAGAAUUGAUGCAUAAGCGUGUUUCUCUUGAUAACAAGUCAGUUUCUUAAUUCAAGGUCCACUUUGUGACCUUGCUUUGUUGGAAGAUAAAUUAGUCCGCGUUAGUUACUUGUGCAAGUAAAAUUAUCUGGUCAACAAUAAAUCAUGUAAAAUCAUUGCAAUGAUCGAUCCCUUCUAAGACAAUGCGAGGAUUGUGGGCAACCUAAAAUAGUCCUUACAUGCAGGAAUCAACACGAAAUGUAAGCAGGUGAUUUUGUUGGGAGUGGCUGGGGUGUGGCCGUGUGUGUCAACUUAUGAUGUCCGUAUUUGUAUAAGCUCACUUCCAUUUUCUUGUCAGGAAUAAGUUAAGGGAAGCAGCUGAGAAUAUUGGCCUUCCCACUUUUGUUGUUGCUGAUGCUGGAAGAACACGGUUUUGGAAGGUCGAAGACGUUCUAGCCAUGGGACCUGGUUUGCUUCUUUUAUAUUUUCUUCUAAAACUGUUGUAGUGGCUUAUCUGUGAUAAAUGCUUUGUUAUAUGCCAUGAUGAGUCCAUUGCUUAGUAGAUGAAGAUUGUACAAGAUAUGAUCACAUGCGACUUCCUCGCUUAUGGAUGUUGCAAAUUCAUUUUCACCUUCAGCAACCAAAGUAAUAAGUUUAUUUUGUUUAUUUUAUGGUACAUCCUUUUUGUGAUUGUGUCUAACCAAAAGUGGCAGUUGAUUCAGUGACAGGAAAGUUGAACUCACUCUAAUGUUGUUGAAGAAAUAAAUCCCCUGAUCAUUGGCCUUCCACAUUCCGCUGUCGGGAGUCUAACCGCUUCUCAACUAGUAUGCCUCGGAGGAGGAAUAUCCUUUGGUGAAUUGUGGUAGGCUGUGGAACCUGGUUAGACAUGGAACAAGCAGCGCAACAAAUGAAAGUAGUCAGCAGAUGAGGAUAUGUCCAACCAUUCAUUAGGAGUUGGAAAUGCCAAUUGAAAUUGUUGCUAGAAAACUAGAAUGCCCAUUUCUUAUAUGCCUAACCAUUGAUGAGGCUGCUUUUCCUACAAUAAGCUUGUUAGGUAGUGAUAUUCAAUGGAAAUUCAGGUGAUAAUGCUGUUAUUAUUAUCAUUAUUUU